UAAGGAGGGUGCAAGCGUUAAUCGGAAUUACUGGGCGUAAAGCGCGCGUAGGCGGUCUGAUAAGUCGGAUGUGAAAGCCCCGGGCUCAACCUGGGAAUUGCAUUCGAUACUGUCGGGCUAGAGUUUGGUAGAGGGUGGUGGAAUUCCCGGUGUAGCGGUGAAAUGCGUAGAUAUCGGGAGGAACAUCAGUGGCGAAGGCGACCACCUGGACCAAAACUGACGCUGAGGUGCGAAAGCGUGGGGAGCAAACAGG
rnacentral:rRNA from 1 species